rnacentral:rRNA from 1 species
AGCAGCAGCCACGGUAAUACAGAGGGUGCAAGCGUUAAUCGGAAUUACUGGGCGUAAAGCGCGCGUAGGUGGUUUGUUAAGUUGGAUGUGAAAGCCCCGGGCUCAACCUGGGAACUGCAUCCAAAACUGGCAAGCUAGAGUACGGUAGAGGGUGGUGGAAUUUCCUGUGUAGCGGUGAAAUGCGUAGAUAUAGGAAGGAACACCAGUGGCGAAGGCGACCACCUGGACUGAUACUGACACUGAGGUGCGAAAGCGUGGGGAGCAAACAGGAUUAGAUACCCCAGUAGUCCCUGUCUCUUAUAC